rnacentral:rRNA from 1 species
UACGGAGGGUGCGAGCGUUGUCCGGAAUCACUGGGCGUAAAGGGCGCGUAGGCGGCUUCUCAAGCGUGUGGUGAAAGUCCGGGGCUCAACCCCGGAUCGGCCGUGCGGACUUGGGGAGCUCGAGUUCUGUAGAGGCGGGUGGAAUUCCGGGUGGUAGCGGUGGAAUGCGUAGAGAUCCGGAAGAACACCGGUGGCGAAGGCGGCCCGCUGGGCAGAGAUGACGCCGAGGCGCGACAGCGUGGGGAGCAAACAGG